CUGUUUUCAGAUGAAGGUGCCAUCGAUUCAUUUGUUUCAGAAAGACAAUCUUCUGCGGUGCGACGACGGACACUAAAUCAGACACACCGACAUCACAACUACGAGCAUCAUGGGAGGACACAGCAAUCCACAGAAGACAGUAUUUAUUUCACAUGAUCGGCUCCAUCUGAACUCAGGAUUGUGCUGCUGGGUAAAACUGGAUCAGGAAAGAGUUCAGCGGGAAACACCAUCCUGGGCAGAGAGUAUUUCAUCAAGGCUGUUUCUCCAGGA